rnacentral:rRNA from 1 species
GGCCACAGCCAUAUCACCCUGCAGCCCAAGACUGGUUGCCCACUGAAGCUAAGCAGGGUUGAGCCUGGUCAGUACCUGGAUGGGAGACCUCCUGGGAAAACUAGGUUGCUGUUGAAA